rnacentral:sRNA from 1 species
GGGGGUGUACUGGUUUCGACGGGGGUGUGGAAACCGGAUAAGCGAGCCGCAGAUUGCCUGACUGCGUUAAAACUGGCACGUUAAAGAUAAACGCAAAAACUAAUAAUAAUUUCGCACUGGCAGCUUAGUUCUGCCCCGCGCGUCCGCCUUUGUUCACCUGCAGGCAAAGAUCCGGACGUCGAUCAUGCAGGAAAACCUUGUGCGUGAUCCCGGCCGCAUAAGGGACUUACGGGAUAGCUGAUGACAUAGCCUGCUUUUGGGCGCUGUCUGAGGCGAAUCAAUAAAACAAAAGCUGCGCUCGGAGAAAUUCCAGUGGAAAUGCUUUCGGACAUGGGUUCGAUUCCCAUCAUCUCCACCA